AGAUGUGAGGGCAAUCUGGUUGUGACAUCUGUCACCUUAUUGAUCGCCAGGGUUGAUUCAGCCUAUCUGGCUGACUAGGCAGGUGUUUCCUUCCUCCCUCCCCACUUCAUGUGUGUCCCUCCUGUCCUACUCUAAGCUGUGUGCCCUGGUCAAAGAGAACGGCCUCCUCUGAAUACAGACAGAUCUUCAGUGGAGGGUAUACAAGUAGCUGCGCUCCCCUGCUAAAACUUCCAAACAAACUCUCAAGGUCCAUUUGUAGGAAUAUAUAGGGUAAUCUAGCUUCCAAGACUCCAGAUGCAUCCAAAUGAGGCACUGCAUGUGGCAGUUUCUCUUUCUUU
ensembl:misc_RNA 7SK 7SK RNA